rnacentral:misc_RNA from 1 species
GAACUGGCAGCAAUGGGUCGUGGUGCGCCUCCUCCACCCUCAGGUCAUGGGGGAUUCCGAGAUCGUGGAAGGGGAUAUGGUGGAGGACGAUCAUGGAGUUGAUUUUCUAAGCCUGAUAUUUCAGUCAAUUAUAGUCCUUCAAUCACAUGUUUGAUAUUGCUACAUCCACUGUGUUGCCAUUGCAAAAGUAGGCAUGCUCAAUAUUACCAGUUAACCCUUUGAACAGAUCCCAUCUACUGCCACUCUUACUAA